GUGUCGUGAACAUUCACAUGAAAAUUGAAACUACAUUAAAUGCCAGCGUGAGCAGGAGGCAGAAGCAGGCGAGCAUGAGAGCCGUACAUCAAAUACCUGAAUUUGAGAAACUUAAGAAAAUUUUGCCGCGAAACCUUUUGACGACGUGUUAGUGAGAAAGAUGACAGCUUCCUAUUUCAGCUAUUCUGAACUCUUAAGCAACACUUUGCACUGCGCAGAAAGAAAGAGUUCAAGAGUGGGAAGAUUGCAAUAUGUGUAGAAACUGCUAACAGUGUAAAGGAGGGAAGAUACGCCAACUAACCGAGCCAGCCUGACACAUGGCUGUUCACAGUUCAGUUAAUGGGACAACAGCCAUCCCAUGGAGGAGCAGCAGGAGGAAACUGUCACUGCUGGAUCAGCUGAAAGGCUGCCAGGAGGCCUGGUGCCCUGGGGGAGCCUGGGACAGAGAGGGGGCUCACGCUGCUAUCUGUGGGACACCUGCUGGGUUUUCCAACUGUCUGAGUCUCAUCUGUCUUUCUCUGACUUGACUCAGCUGGUGCUCUUCUACUCUCUGACCAGGGAUGUGCUGGAUGUUUGUCUCCACAUUCCUCGCUGGAUCUACAGCGUAACAGACACAAAAAAAGAGCGUCUUUCACAGCUUGAACCUA
ensembl:lncRNA